ensembl:lncRNA
GGAAAAAAUGAAUAAGUGAAGAACUAAAGCUGAAACUUAGCAAGGCUGAGAUUGUAGGAGGCUGGGAAGGAUUAGAUCAGUCCUUGUCUGAUCUGACUACCUGCUUAUCCUUAGUCAAAAACCCCCGAAGGAUGAAAGCCAUUAUCCCAGCUUGGCAAAGCAGCUCAAGGAACCCAAAAGCUGAAGCAGAAAAGCAGCCUCUUGCACUAUUCAGGAUCCCCAGCUGGUCCAAAAGAACUUUCAAGCCAGAUAAACAUUUCUGCAACACUUUUGUCUGAAUCUGAACUCUGCAUAAGGAAAUAUGGGUCUAUAAAUAAGAUACCAGACUGCAAUUCCAUUGUGCGUAGGAUUUGGUAGGAGCCUUCUGGACCACUGCAUGGGAGAGGCAGCUCAGCUGUGGCUUUCCAGGUCACCUAUACCACAUAAAUGGUUUCUUCACUGGAGGAAAGGUCAGAGAAUCCCCUCAUCCCACACAGUCCCUACGCUGCCACAUUCACAUUCUAGGACUGGUACCCAUCCUCCAAAAGUUAGGGUAUCCAUGUCCACCACCAGCCAAUCGCAACCUUGGCCAUGGACUCCUCAUAGGGCUGCAUGCCCAGAAAGCCAAGGGCUGGAUAUGCCAUUGUGAAACUGCUCCUUUCAUCUGACCUGUUUUGGGACAAAGUGCUACUAAUAGAGUGACUUCCACCCAAGUCUGUGCAUCAAGUCAAACCAGGGUUUGUGGGACAACACCUGAUGCAGAAAAUGCAAAGCUAUUAGAGAGAAGCCAGACUCAGAGAUAGUUGUCAGGAUGGGCAGUAGGGCAGAUCAGUCUUCCACACAAACUGCCUAAAAUCUGUCUGACCUCACAGCUGAGCUCCUCUUGGUCCCUGAGGUUUCCUUCAUACCAUCCUACCAACUAAAUAUGCUGUUGUUCUUGAACCUGCAAAGGAUAUGCUUAAUAUGAUUGUUUCCUCUUUCCAAUCACUUUGUUUUAAAAUGGUGUUAAAUGCUACACUUCUCAUGGAAGGCACCUGGGCA